rnacentral:ncRNA from 1 species
UUCAUCCAGAGAAGCCGAGGGAACGGCCCUGUGACGCUUCGGCAACCACCGCCUCGUGUGCGGAAGGUGCCAAAUCCGGCCGGUGUGACACCGGAGAGAUGAA